rnacentral:lncRNA from 1 species
AGAUACCCCAUGAACCCACCUCCAGUGACUACUUACUUCCUCAGUGAUGGUUUCUAGAAUUUGUCAGAAUAGUCCUACCAGGACUCUGGAUUAGAUAUAUCAGCAGAUUGGGAGGCAUGCCAAGUCUGGUGGUUCAUCUGUAAAGACAAGAUCCAUCACUCGCUGUCAUGUUUAUGACCUCCUGCUGUUGCUCUGCCUGCGACUUCAUUCCUUCACUUGGUAAUUUUUGAUAACACAUUAACAGAUGCUGAGGCUCAGUGUUUAUAUCCUUAUUGUUUGUGGCUCAUUUACUCUGACCCAUGUGAUAAUCAAUCAUGAGAAUAUUCUAUAACAUCCAUGCACUGUCCUGCUUAGAGGGACUUAUUUCCAUUUUAUAUGAAAAAAACUUCUAUUAGAUUCCAGUAUGCAUAUUCAAAGCUUGAUACUCAG